GUGCCGGGUAACGGCCCGAGGCGCUUAGGACGCUGUGUGGAAGCACUCCGCCGGUUCGAAUCCGGUCCCGCGCA
rnacentral:tRNA from 1 species